CUAGAGAUAGGGUAGGCCUUCGGGACAGGGGAGACAGGUGGUGCAUGGUUGUCGUCAGCUCGUGUCGUGAGAUGUUGGGUUAAGUCCCGCAACGAGCGCAACCCUUGAUUUUAGUUGCCAGCACUUCGGGUGGGCACUCUAGAAUGACUGCCGGUGACAAACCGGAGGAAGGCGGGGAUGACGUCAAAUCAUCAUGCCCCUUAUGACCUGGGCUACACACGUACUACAAUGGCCGGUACAACGGGCCGCGAAGCCGCGAGGUGGAGCCAAUCCUAAAAAGCCGGUCUCAGUUCGGAUUGCAGGCUGCAACUCGCCUGCAUGAAGUCGGAAUUGCUAGUAAUCGCGGAUCAGCAUGCCGCGGUGAAUACGUUCCCGGGUCUUGUACACACCGCCCGUCACACCACGAGAGUUUACAACACCCGAAGUCGGUGAGGUAACCGCAAGGAGCCAGCCGCCGAAGGUGGGGUAGAUGAUUGGGGUGAAGUCGUAACAAGGUAGCCGUAUCGGAAGGUGCGGCUGGAUCACCUCCUUUCUAUGGAG
rnacentral:rRNA from 1 species